rnacentral:rRNA from 1 species
AGCAGCCGCGGUAAUUCCAGCUCCAAUAGCGUAUAUUAAAGUUGCUGCAGUUAAAAAGCUCGUAGUUGAAUUUCGGGACCAAUAUGUCGGUCGUGCCUCGGUACGUACUGGCAUCGUUGGCUUCUCCCCCUCUGACGAACCAUGAUGUCAUUAACUUGGUGUCAUGGGAAAUCAGGACUGUUACUUUGAAAAAUUAGAGUGUUUAAAGCAGGCUCACGCUUGAAUACAUUAGCAUGGAAUAAUGAAAUAGGACGUUCGAUCCUAUUUUGUU